UCUAAAUUUAAUAUACAAUUUAAACUCUAACCUAUAUUAAUGUUUAAUUUUAAUUAUGAUUUUUCUUUUUAGGUUAAAUUAUAAUCUAAAAGGAAAAUGGUAUGAAACAAAUACUUUAUCUACAGAUGAUGUGAAACUGAGCAAUGAAGAAAUUACGUUUCUUGCACAAGGAUACAUAGCUGAUCCUCGAGAAUCAGACCUGUGGCAUGGAGAGGGAAUAAAUAGAGGAUCACUUCACCUACUAAAAAACAUCUAUUUG